rnacentral:lncRNA from 1 species
UUGUCAAAUGCAGCUGUUACAUCCAGCUGUGGUGGCAAAGAGUCUUCCUUUAUAAGUGUUUGAAAGCAUCCCCUGAGAUGAACCAGCUCACUCAGACAUUGGCCAGUCAAACAGCUACUGAAUUGCUUAAAGUGGCCAACUACAUUCAGGCACAGAGCAAGAAAAGCAGAGAGCUGCCAGAAAAGGGGUAUCCCCACUGAGACUGCCGGUCCUUUAAGCAGGUGUUUAUAAAGUCACCACCUUGGUGGAGAACAACAAGGCUCACCUGGGGAUGACUGCACAUGUGUGGAUUCCACUGAGCUGGUUGUUCUUCCUGCUGCCUUGGGCUCUAAAAUGGGAGUCUCCUAGUUCAUUAUCAAGAGAAAAGCCAGACUGGUGGGAUGUUUCCUCCACAGAAAGACCUGCACCACCAUUGCCUUUACACAGGUUAACUCAGAAGACAAAGGAGUCCUAGCUAAGCUGGUGGAAACUACCAGGACCAAUUACAAUGACAGACAUGACAAGAUCUGCUAUCAUUGGGGAUAACAUUCUAUCAAAUUUAUGGCUCUCAUUGCUAAGCUCAAAAAGCAAGGCUAAAGAACUUGUCGCCAAACUGGGAUAAAGGUUUAAUGUUACCUUUACUGUACAUAAAAAUAA